GUCCUCGUAGCCCAACCGGCAGAGGCACGGUCUUGAGGAGGCCGUCGGUGCGGGUUCGAAUCCCGCCGAGGACAC
rnacentral:tRNA from 1 species